rnacentral:rRNA from 1 species
UCAGAUUGAACGCUGGCGGCAGGCCUAACACAUGCAAGUCGAGCGGCAGCACGGGUACUUGUACCUGGUGGCGAGCGGCGGACGGGUGAGUAAUGCCUAGGAAUCUGCCUGGUAGUGGGGGAUAACGCUCGGAAACGGACGCUAAUACCGCAUACGUCCUACGGGAGAAAGCAGGGGACCUUCGGGCCUUGCGCUAUCAGAUGAGCCUAGGUCGGAUUAGCUAGUUGGUGAGGUAAUGGCUCACCAAGGCGACGAUCCGUAACUGGUCUGAGAGGAUGAUCAGUCACACUGGAACUGAGACACGGUCCAGACUCCUACGGGAGGCAGCAGUGGGGAAUAUUGGACAAUGGGCGAAAGCCUGAUCCAGCCAUGCCGCGUGUGUGAAGAAGGUCUUCGGAUUGUAAAGCACUUUAAGUUGGGAGGAAGGGCAGUUACCUAAUACGUGAUUGUUUUGACGUUACCGACAGAAUAAGCACCGGCUAACUCUGUGCCAGCAGCCGCGGUAAUACAGAGGGUGCAAGCGUUAAUCGGAAUUACUGGGCGUAAAGCGCGCGUAGGUGGUUUGUUAAGUUGGAUGUGAAAUCCCCGGGCUCAACCUGGGAACUGCAUCCAAAACUGGCAAGCUAGAGUAUGGUAGAGGGUGGUGGAAUUUCCUGUGUAGCGGUGAAAUGCGUAGAUAUAGGAAGGAACACCAGUGGCGAAGGCGACCACCUGGACUGAUACUGACACUGA